rnacentral:rRNA from 1 species
AGAGUUUGAUCAUGGCUCAGGACGAACGCUGGCGGCGUGCUUAACACAUGCAAGUCGAGCGGUAAGGCCCUUCGGGGUACACGAGCGGCGAACGGGUGAGUAACACGUGGGUGAUCUGCCCUGCACUUCGGGAUAAGCCUGGGAAACUGGGUCUAAUACCGGAUAUGACCUUCGGCUGCAUGGCCGUUGGUGGAAAGGUUUACUGGUGCAGGAUGGGCCCGCGGCCUAUCAGCUUGUUGGUGGGGUAAUGGCCUACCAAGGCGACGACGGGUAGCCGACCUGAGAGGGUGACCGGCCACACUGGGACUGAGACACGGCCCAGACUCCUACGGGAGGCAGCAGUGGGGAAUAUUGCACAAUGGGCGAAAGCCUGAUGCAGCGACGCCGCGUGAGGGAUGACGGCCUUCGGGUUGUAAACCUCUUUCAGCAGGGACGAAGCGAAAGUGACGGUAC